rnacentral:rRNA from 1 species
UGGGGAAUUUUGGACAAUGGGCGAAAGCCUGAUCCAGCAAUGCCGCGUGUGUGAAGAAGGCCUUCGGGUUGUAAAGCACUUUUGUCCGGAAAGAAAUCCUUGGCUCUAAUACAGUCGGGGGAUGACGGUACCGGAAGAAUAAGCACCGGCUAACUACGUGCCAGCAGCCGCGGUAAUACGUAGGGUGCAAGCGUUAAUCGGAAUUACUGGGCGUAAAGCGUGCGCAGGCGGUUUGCUAAGACCGAUGUGAAAUCCCCGGGCUCAACCUGGGAACUGCAUUGGGUGACUGGCAGGCUAGAGUAUGGCAGAGGGGGGAUAGAAUUCCCACGUGUAGCAGUGAAAUGCGUAGAGAUGUGGAGGAAUACCGAUGGCGAAGGCAGCCCCCAUGGGCAAUACUGACGCUCAUGCACGAAAGCGUGGGGAGCAAA